rnacentral:lncRNA from 1 species
CAUCAGUCAGGGUAGAGAGAGCAGCAUGAAAAUUGGUAAAGGAAGAGCUCCCAUGCCCUUCAGUCACUUUACAGCAGGCAUGGCCAAACUUGACCCUCCAGCUGUUUUGGGACUACAAUUCCCAUCAUCCCUGACCACUGGUCCUGUUAGCUAGGGGUGAUGGGAAUUGUAGUCCCAAAACAGCUGGAGGGCCAAGUUUGGCCAUGUCUAUUUUACAGCAUUAAGAUAAGCACCCAGUUACCAAAAUAACCCCCCAAAUUACACUUAAAAUUAUCUAACCCUCCUCACUUUUUGCGGGGCUUUGCUUUAUUUACUCCUUCUCACCAAAUCCUCCCCCCCCCCCCCAGAAAAAACCACCCUGGCUAAAAUGAUUGUUUAAGCUCAGGGUUGGAUAGACUUUUGAGCUGGCUGCCAGGCACUUGGGAACGACAGCACAAGGGAUGUUGUGAGCGCCAAGUGCAAGGCUGUCAAAGAAGUGUGCCUUCUGGAAACUUGAGCAGGGUUGAAAAUACACCCAGCCACACACCACUCAUCAGCUGAUGAGUGGGGAGUUAAAUCCUGCUGUGUUGGAGGUGCAUGCCUGUUCCCAGGCAGGAACAGGUGCACACAGCCAACACAGAAUUAAGUGGCACCAGCUGAUUGGCAGGUGCACAUGGUUUGGGGGAAAUGGCCUUGCAGGCCAAAUUUCUGGUGGGCCAAGAAUGGCCUGCAGGCUGGGCACUCUCCCCCGCGUUUAGCUAAUAGUCUGUACUGCUUGGUCUUUUAAAUAAUCUCCACCUGAACCAGCAACUUCAAUAGUGUACUGAUAAUAUUAUAACAGAGGUAAAAUGUGGUUGUUUGUGGACUUCCAAGAGGAUGAGGAAAAGCAUGACCCAGAAGCUGUAUGCCGGCUUCCUUGGCCAGUAAAGUGAGAUGAGAGCCACAACCCCAGAGUCGUCCGCGACUGGACCUAACAGUCAGGGGUCCCUUUACCUUUACCUUUGCAUUUUAUUGUGAACUGAUCUAAUUCACCCUUGCUGAACCAAGGGAACUUUUGAAAAAUUGAAUUUCCUAUGAAACUUGCAGUUCUCCAAAUAUUGUAAAGCAGUUCUCCUGCCAAAUAACGGGUAUACAAAAUGCAUAUUAAGGAGAAAUGUGCAAAAAAUAAAAAUGCAUAUAUUGGCAAACAUAAUAUACAAAUAAGUAUGAUAUUACAUGUAGUUCAGUGGGAAAAUGUGUAUACCAGCUGGUGAAUUUUUGUAAGGACUUCCUUUUUUAAGAAAAGGAAACUAAAGCAGAAAUGUGGAGAACUGAAUUUAAGAAGAGGGAAAUGAGAAACUAAUAGGAGCUUUAAUUGGCAGCUUUGUCCCUCUCUGCGCUAAGAGAAAUGUUCAUCAGAAAUGCAGAGGCAAAGCAGGAAAUAUAUCCGACCGUGACCCCUUGGAUCAGACAGCCAUAAAGGUCACUGCGGGAACAUGCCAAGACCCUUCUCCUCUGCUUUUGUAAUGGUAUUAGCAAUGACUGUUUCUUACUCAAUCACACUCCCAAAGGAUUUUCAAUAAACUUUUUAUGUGCCAUAACUGUU